AACGAACGCUGGCGGCAUGCCUAACACAUGCAAGUCGAACGAGACCUUCGGGUCUAGUGGCGCACGGGUGCGUAACGCGUGGGAACCUGCCCUUAGGUUCGGAAUAACUCCCCGAAAGGGGUGCUAAUACCGGAUAAUGUCUUCGGACCAAAGAUGUAUCGCCUUUGGAUGGGCCCGCGUUGGAUUAGCUAGUUGGUAGGGUAAAAGCCUACCAAGGCGAGGAUCCAUAGCUGGUCUGAGAGGAUGAUAAGCCACACUGGGACUGAGACACGGCCCAGACUCCUACGGGAAGCAGCAGUGGGGAAUAUUGGACGAGGGGCGAAGGCCUGAUCCAGCAAUGCCGCGUGAGUGAUGAAGGCCUUAGGGUUGUAAAGCUCUUUUACCCGGGAUGAUAAUGACAGUACCGGGAGAAUAAGCUCCGGCUAACUCCGUG
rnacentral:rRNA from 1 species